GGGAGGUAGUGACAAUAAAUAACAACACAGGGCUCUUUCGGGUCUUGUUAUUGGAAUGAGUACGAUUUAAAUCUCCUAACGAGGAACAAUUGGAGGGCAAGUCUGGUGCCAGCAGCCGCGGUAAUUCCAGCUCCAAUAGCGUAUAUUAAAGUUGUUGCAGUUAAAAAGCUCGUAGUUGAAUUUCAGGCCUGGCUGGACGGUCCGCCCUCUGGGUGAGAACUGUCUGUGGUCGGGUCCUACCUUCUGGCGAAGCGUCAUGGCCUUAACCGGCCGUGGCGGGGAACCAGGACUUUUACUGUGAAAAAUUAGAGUGUUCAAAGCAGGCAGUCGCUUGAAUACAUUAGCAUGGAAUAAUGGAAUAGGACAGUGGUUCUAUUUGUUGGUUUCUAGGACCGUUGUAAUGAUUAAUAGGGAUAGUUGGG
rnacentral:rRNA from 1 species